rnacentral:rRNA from 1 species
AUUGAACGCUGGCGGCAGGCCUAACACAUGCAAGUCGAGCGGAUGAGAAGAGCUUGCUCUUCGAUUCAGCGGCGGACGGGUGAGUAAUGCCUAGGAAUCUGCCUGAUAGUGGGGGACAACGUCUCGAAAGGGACGCUAAUACCGCAUACGUCCUACGGGAGAAAGCAGGGGACCUUCGGGCCUUGCGCUAUCAGAUGAGCCUAGGUCGGAUUAGCUUGUUGGUGAGGUAAUGGCUCACCAAGGCGACGAUCCGUAACUGGUCUGAGAGGAUGAGCAGGCACAGUGGAACCGAGACACGGUCCAGACUACUACGGGAGGCAGCAGUGGGGAAUAUUGGACAAUGGGCGAAAGCCUGAUCCAGCCAUGCCGCGUGUGUGAAGAAGGUCUUCGGAUUGUAAAGCACUUUAAGUUGGGAGGAAGGGCAGUCAGCGAAUACCUGGUUGUUUUGACGUUACCGACAGAAUAAGCACCGGCUAACUCUGUGCCAGCCGCCGCAGUAAUAC